rnacentral:SRP_RNA from 1 species
GAUGCACAUAUGUCACAAUAAGGCUCUGUGAACCAUGUCAGGCGGGGAACCGAGCAGCAUUAAGCAGAAGUCUUAUGUGUAGGCGUUGUGCCUCUGC